UAUGUAACCCCAAACCGGGCAAGGGGGAGUCCUGUCUAAGCCACCCCAACCUGCUGAUGGACAUGCUAGCCUGGGACCAGGAGGGUCCCCGUGACCACUGCCCCUGUGCCGAUGACCUUCAGUGCCAGCCUCAUGGCCGUGGAUCUGUGUGUGGAUAACAGUACUGGAGAUUUACAGUGCAGCAGAGUUAGAUGAAAUGACCUUAACGAUCCAAAGACGGACGCCUCUGCUGAUCAACAGCUGCUGGAAGUACAGGCUGUUGCUUCAGGACUGAACUUGCACUCACUGUAUUAUUUAUGCCUUACUGCCAGUGUAUAUUAUAUAUAUAUUAAAAACAACAACAACAAUAAAUGACUUGUUUUCAGCUUUGAGAACCAA